rnacentral:sRNA from 1 species
GCCUCAUCUGCAGCCAAUGCCUUCUUGCUGAUGAUCCGGUAGAUCUCAGUGAGCACUGUCUGAAAAGCUUUAUCCACAUUCGUCGCGUCGAGCGCCGAGGUCUCGACGAAGGAUAGGCCCUCCCUCUCUGCAAAGCUUGUUGCGUCCUCCAAGGACACUGACCGGAGAUGCUUGAGGUCGAUCUUGUUGCCGAUGAGCAUGACGACGAUGUUGGAGUCGGCAUGGUCACGGAGCUCCUUGAGCCACCUCUUCACAUUCUCAAAAGUUGUGGCCUUUGUGACAUCAUAGACUAGCAAUGCUCCCACUGCGCCGCGGUAGUAUGCGCUUGUGAUGGCCCGGUACCGUUCUUGCCCGGCUGUGUCCCAUAUCUAAGCUAGCACUAGCAGGCAUGGUGACCUGGAUGGUGCGGGUGGCGAACUCGACGCCGAUGGUGGACUUGGAGUCGAGGGAGAAGCUGUUGCGGGUGAAGCGGGAGAGGAGGUUCGACUUCCCCACGCCGGAGUCCCCGAUCAGCACGAUCUUGAACAGGUAGUCGUACUCGUCGCCGCCCUGCUCCC